rnacentral:rRNA from 1 species
GGCUCAGGAUGAACGCUGGCGGCGUGCUUAACACAUGCAAGUCGAACGGAGUAUUGACGCUGAACAAACGAUUAGCUUGCUAAAAGUGAGUUCUUGUUGAUACUUAGUGGCGGACGGGUGAGUAACGCGUGAGCAACCUGUCCCAGACAGGGGGAUAACACUUGGAAACAGGUGCUAAUACCGCAUAAGACCACGGGAUCACAUGGUUCUGGGGGUAAAAGGAGCAAUCCGGUUUGGGGUGGGCUCGCGUCCGAUUAGCCAGUUGGCGGGGUAACGGCCCACCAAAGCGACGAUCGGUAGCCGACCUGAGAGGGUGAACGGCCACAUUGGAACUGAGAGACGGUCCAAACUCCUACGGGAGGCAGCAGUGGGGAAUAUUGGGCAAUGGGCGAAAGCCUGACCCAAGCAACGCCGCGUGAGUGAAGAAGGCCUUCGGGUUGUAAAGCUCUGUUAUAGUUGACGAAGGAAGUGACGGUAGGCUAUAAGGAAGCCCCGGCUAACUACGUGCCAGCAGCUGC